GGGACACGUGGUAUCCUGUCUGAAUAUGGGGGGACCAUCCUCCAAGGCUAAAUACUCCUGACUGACCGAUAGUGAACCAGUACCGUGAGGGAAAGGCGAAAAGAACCCCGGCGAGGGGAGUGAAAAAGAACCUGAAACCGUGUACGUACAAGCAGUGGGAGCACAGGUUUACCUGUGUGACUGCGUACCUUUUGUAUAAUGGGUCAGCGACUUAUAUUCUGUAGCAAGGUUAACCGUAUAGGGGAGCCGCAGGGAAACCGAGUCUUAAYYGGGCGUUAAGUUGCAGGGUAUAGACCCGAAACCCGGUGAUCUAGCCAUGGGCAGGUUGAAGGUUGGGUAACACUAACUGGAGGACCGAACCGACUAAUGUUGAAAAAUUAGCGGAUGACCUGUGGCUGGGGGUGAAAGGCCAAUCAAACCGGGAGAUAGCUGGUUCUCCCCGAAAGCUAUUUAGGUAGCGCCUCGUGAACUCAUCUUCGGGGGUAGAGCACUGUUUCGGCUAGGGGGUCAUC
rnacentral:rRNA from 1 species